rnacentral:tRNA from 1 species
GGUAGUUUAUGCAAGGGGUUAAAGCAGGCUGUCUGUAAAACAGUUCCUUUUGAGGUUCGUAGGUUCAAAUCCUACAGCUACCA